GCCCUUUUGUUGGGAAAGAAAAGCAUUCGGUUAAUACCCGAUUGUUCUGACGGUACCCAAAGAAUAAGCACCGGCUAACUUCGUGCCAGCAGCCGCGGUAAUACGAAGGGUGCAAGCGUUACUCGGAAUUACUGGGCGUAAAGCGUGCGUAGGUGGUUGUUUAAGUCCGUUGUGAAAGCCCUGGGCUCAACCUGGGAAUUGCAGUGGAUACUGGGCAACUAGAGUGUGGUAGAGGAUGGCGGAAUUCCCGGUGUAGCAGUGAAAUGCGUAGAGAUCGGGAGGAACAUCUGUGGCGAAGGCGGCCAUCUGGACCAACACUGACACUGAGGCACGAAAGCGUGGGGAGCAAACAGGAUUAGAUACCCUGGUAGUCCACGCCCUAAACGAUGCGAACUGGAUGUUGGGUGCAACUUGGCACGCCACUAUCGAAGCUAACGCGUUAAGUUCGCCGCCUGGGGAGUACGGUCGCAAGACUGAAACUCAAAGGAAAUUGACGGGGGCCCGCACAAGCGGUGGAGUAUGUGGUUUAAUUCCGAUGCAACGCGAAGAACCUUACCUGGUCUUGACAUCCACG
rnacentral:rRNA from 1 species